GGCGGCUGAGCGAGACUCCAUCUCAAAUAACUAACUUUCAUUACUGUCAAUAGAACAAAGUGCAGAUUCCUUCAUUUAGCAUCGAAGGCCCUCUAUUAGCUGAAAUUAGGUAAGGAGUUUUCCCCACUAUUUCCUUACUCACCAUUCAGUUAAUCUAACUCAUGAGCUUUCCCUAUUUGACUAAACUAUUCAGUGUUCUUAGACUGUCUAUCUCUUGCAUUUCCCCAGUUCAACUUCCUUCACCAAGUUCUACUUAAUCCUUUCUGGAUUCAUGAAACAAUCUUUUCCCACC
rnacentral:lncRNA from 10 species